rnacentral:lncRNA from 1 species
GGACGGACGACGGAUCCAGUCUAACAGACGGACGAAGAUACCACCACGUAUCCAAUUGACCACCAGAGACAUUCUUCCGAGUAACAGGAAGAUCUGUUGGCCAACCCGGCCAGCAUCUACGACCAAUCUACCGAAGCGCAGCUCAGACCAGCCAGCCAGCCAGGUAGAAAAAUGGCAGAAAAAAAGAAAAAAGACAGACAUCAGAGUAUUUUUCAGUACACCAAAACGCAAAGCAGAGCAGGCAACAGAUGGCACACAGACAGCAGAGUUGGGGACAGAUAUGCAGGGACAGACUGGCAGAGACAGGGAGUCUCAGGAGACAGACUGUGAGUCAGUGAGGGUGGUGAAAGGGAAAGAGCCAGGGAGAGAGACUUCAGAGGACAGUGUCACGGCAGGACCAGGUGUCACCCUUGUUGCCAGCAGCACCAGUAUAGGGGACAGUGGCACAGCAUUGUCCAGUUACCUCAGUGAUGGCACAAAACCAUAUCAGCCACAGCCACAAUUUAUAGAAGCUCAAACUCUUGCCAACAGAGUGUUGACGUUUCAAGAGAGAUGGUUUCACGAUUUGCCCUGGCUUCAUUAUAACCCAUCAAUAAAAGGAGUGUUGUGUUUUCACUGUAGCCAAGGGUUUUCAAGCCAG